rnacentral:tRNA from 4 species
UGGGGCGUGGCCAAGUGGUAAGGCACCGGUUUUUGGUAUCGGCAUUCGCAGGUUCGAAUCCUGCCGCCCCAGCCA